CACGGAGUUAGCCGGUGCUUAUUCAUAUAAUACCGUCAUUAUCUUCUUAUAUAAAAGGAGUUUACGCACCGAAAUGUGUCAUCCUCCACGCGGCGUUGCUGCAUCAGGCUUUCGCCCAUUGUGCAAUAUUCCC
rnacentral:rRNA from 1 species